CGGGACGGGUGAGUAAUGUCUGGGAAACUGCCUGAUGGAGGGGGGUAACUACUGGAAACGGUAGCUAAUACCGCAUAACGUCGCAAGACCAAAGAGGGGGACCUUAGGGCCUCUUGCCAUCGGAUGUGCCCAGAUGGGAUUAGCUAGUAGGUGGGGUAACGGCUCACCUAGGCGACGAUCCCUAGCUGGUCUGAGAGGAUGACCAGCCACACUGGAACUGAGACACGGCCCAG
rnacentral:rRNA from 1 species